rnacentral:rRNA from 1 species
AGAGUUUGAUCCUGGCUCAGAACGAACGCUGGCGGCAGGCUUAACACAUGCAAGUCGAGCGAGGACUUCGGUUCUAGCGGCGGACGGGUGAGUAACGCGUGGGAACGUGCCCUUUGCUUCGGAAUAGCCCCGGGAAACUGGGAGUAAUACCGGAUGUGCCCUUCGGGAGAAAGAUCUAUCGGCAAAGGAUCGGCCCACGUUGGAUUAGGUAGUUGGUGGGGUAAUGGCCUACCAAGCCGACGAUCCAUAGCUGGUUUGAGAGGAUGAUCAGCCACACUGGGACUGAGACACGGCCCAGACUCCUACGGGAGGCAGCAGUGGGGAAUCUUAGACAAUGGGGGCAACCCUGAUCUAGCCAUGCCGCGUGAGUGAUGAAGGCCUUAGGGUUGUAAAGCUCUUUCAGCUGGGAAGAUAAUGACGGUACCAGCAGAAGAAGCCCCGGCUAACUCCGUGCCAGCAGCCGCGGUAAUACGGAGGGGGCUAGCGUUGUUCGGAAUUACUGGGCGUAAAGCGCACGUAGGCGGACUGGAAAGUUGGGGGUGAAAUCCCGGGGCUCAACCUCGGAACUGCCUUCAAAACUAUCAGUCUGGAGUUCGAGAGAGGUGAGUGAAUUCCGAGUGUAGAGGUGAAAUUCGUAGAUAUUCGGAGGAACACCAGUGGCGAAGGCGGCUCACUGGCUCGAUACUGACGCUGAGGUGCGAAAGCGUGGGUAGCAAACAGGAUUAGAUACCCUGGUAGUCCACGCCGUAAACGAUGUCGACUAGCCGUUGGGCUCCUUGAGAGCUUUGUGGCGCAGUUAACGCGAUAAGUCGACCGCCUGGGGAGUACGGCCGCAAGGUUAAAACUUAAAGGAAUUGACGGGGGC